rnacentral:rRNA from 1 species
GCAAGGUUGAAACUCAAAGGAAUUGACGGGGACCCGCACAAGCGGUGGAUGAUGUGGUUUAAUUCGAUGCAACGCGAAAAACCUUACCUACCCUUGACAUGCCAGGAACUUGCCAGAGAUGGCUUGGUGCUCGAAAGAGAACCUGGACACAGGUGCUGCAUGGCCGUCGUCAGCUCGUGUCGUGAGAUGUUGGGUUAAGUCCCGCAACGGGCGCAACCCUUGUCAUUAGUUGCUACGAAAGGGCACUCUAAUGAGACUGCCGGUGACAAACCGGAGGAAGGUGGGGAUGACGUCAGGUCCUCAUGGCCCUUAUGGGUAGGGCUACACACGUCAUACAAUGGCCGGUACAGAGGGCUGCCAACCCGCGAGGGGGAGCCAACCCCAGAAAACCGGUCGUAGUCCGGAUCGCAGUCUGCAACUCGACUGCGUGAAGUCGGAGUCGCUAGUAAUCGCGGAUCAGCUUACCGCGGUGAAUACGUUCCCGGGUCUUGUACACACCGCCCGUCACACCAUGGGAGCGGGUUCUGCCAGAAGUAGUUAGCCUAACCGCAAGGAGGGCGAUUACCACGGCAGGGUUCGUGACUGGGGUGAAGU